UUGUUGUGUUUGACGGAGUUAUGUGUGACUGAAAACUUAGACAACUUUUAACAAUGGAUCUCUUGGCUCUUGCAACGAUGAAGAACGCAGUAAAGUGCGAUAUCUAGUGCGAUUUGCAUGAAUCUGUGAGUCAUCGAGUCUUUGAACGCAACUUGCGCCCAGCAAUGGGCAUGUCUGUUUGAGUACCGCAAAUCUCUCUGUUCUCCGCAAGGAGGGCGACUUGGGCUGUGAAAGAUGAACACGCGAGUGGUGCAUCUUUCGGCCUGGAAAGGAGCAAGUAUGUGGACGCUGUGAGCCGCAUCUCUGUGUGCUAUAAACACGCAAGUGUUUGGUCGCAGAGGGACGGGCAGUGCGCCAUACCCUUUUUAUUUUUUCAAUGGUCUCAAAUCAGGCAGGAUUACCCGCUGAACUUAAGCAUAUCAAUAAGCGGAGGA
rnacentral:rRNA from 1 species